rnacentral:Y_RNA from 1 species
GGCUGGUCCGAGCGCAGUGGUGUUUACAACCAGUUACAGAUUCCUUCGUUCCUUCUCCACUCCCACUGCUUCACUUGACUCGCCUAUA